UAGCAUAUCAAUAAGCGGAGGAAAAGAAACCAACAGGGAUUGCCUCAGUAACGGCGAGUGAAGCGGCAACAGCUCAAAUUUGAAAUCUGGCGGCCUCUGGGCCGUCCGAGUUGUAAUUUGAAGAGGAUGCUUUUGGCGAGGCGCCUUCCGAGUGCCCUGGAACGGGACGCCACAGAGGGUGAGAGCCCCGUAUGGUUGGACGCCGAGCCUCUGUAAAGCUCCUUCGACGAGUCGAGUAGUUUGGGAAUGCUGCUCAAAAUGGGAGGUAAACCCCUUCUAAAGCUAAAUACUGGCCAGAGACCGAUAGCGCACAAGUAGAGUGAUCGAAAGAUGAAAAGCACUUUGAAAAGAGAGUUAAACAGCACGUGAAAUUGUUGAAAGGGAAGCGCUUGCGACCAGACUUGUGCCCGUCGAAUCAGCCGCCGCUCGUCGGCGGCGCACUUCGGCGGGCUCAGGCCAGCAUCAGUUCGCUGCAGGGGGAGAAAGGCGAUGGGAAUGUGGCUCUUCGGAGUGUUAUAGCCCGCCGCGCAAUACCCCUCGGCGGACUGAGGACCGCGCAUCUGCAAGGAUGCUGGCGUAAUGGUCGUCAGCGACCCGUCUUGAAACACGGACCAAGGAGUCGUCCUAAUAUGCGAGUGUUCGGGUGUAAAACCCCUGCGCGUAAUGAAAGUGAACGGAGGUGAGAGCUUCGGCGCAUCAUCGACCGAUCCUGAUGUUCUCGGAUGGAUUUGAGUAAGAGCAUAUUGGGCCGGACCCGAAAGAAGGUGAACUAUGCCUGUAUAGGGUAAAGCCAGAGGAAACUCUGGUGGAGGCUCGCAGCGGUUCUGACGUGCAAAUCGAUCGUCAAAUAUGGGCAUGGGGGGCGAAAGACUAAUCGAACCUUCUAGUAGCUGGUUUCCGCCGAA
rnacentral:rRNA from 1 species